UAAGACGAACCGUGCGAACGUUGUUCGGAAUCACUGGGCUUAAAGGGCGCGUAGGCGGGCUCGCAGGUCAGGGGUGAAAGCCUCCAGCUCAACUGGAGAAGCGCCUUUGAUACCGCGGGCCUCGAGGGGGGUAGGGGCGUGCGGAACUUCCGGUGGAGCGGUGAAAUGCGUAGAUAUCGGAAGGAACACCGGUGGCGAAAGCGGCGCGCUGGACCCCUUCUGACGCUGAGGCGCGAAAGCCAGGGGAGCAAACGGGAUUAGAUACCCCGGUAGUCCUGGCCCUAAACGAUGGGUACUAGGUUGUGGACUUACAUGGGUUCACAGCCGAAGCAAAAGUGAUAAGUACCCCGCCUGGGGAGUAUGGUCGCAAGGCUG
rnacentral:rRNA from 1 species